rnacentral:rRNA from 1 species
CACACCGCCCGUCACAUCACGAAAGCCGGGAGCACUUGAAGAGGCUGUGGUAACCCGCAAGGGGGCUAGGUCUCGAUGGUGAACUUGGUGAUUGGGGUG